rnacentral:tRNA from 1 species
GCCGCCACUAGCUCAUCAGGAAAGAGCGUCAACCCUUUAAGUUGAGUGUGCGAGGUUCGAGUCCCCGGUGGCGGUCCAG